GUCCCUGCAUCCACUGAUAUCAGGGCAAAGUACAGUGAGUGCCCUCUGAGAGAACACGUUACUCAAGAGAGGCCAAGCUUGGCCUGGCUCAAAAUAGCACUUUCCCUUAAUUUGCCUCUUUUUCUCUGUCUCUGUGUCUGUCUUUUUUUUUUUUGUCUCUGUCUCUCUGUCUCUAUCUUUCUCUCUGCGUCUCUCUCUCUCUGUGUCUUCUCUGUCUCUGUCUUUUUUUGUCUCUCUCUCUGUCUUCCUCUCUGUCUUCCUCUCUGUGUCUCUCUCUCUGUCUUCUCUGUCUCUCUGUCUCUGUCUCUCUCUCUGUGUCUCUGCCUCUCUGUAUUCUCUGUUUCUGUCUCUCUGUGUCUCUGUCUCUCUCCUGUCUCUGUGUUUCUUCAUCUCUGUCUCUUUCUCUCUUUCUCCUCUCUCUCUGUCUUCUCAGUCUUUGUCUCUGUCUCUCUCACCAUCUCUGUCUUUCUUUGUGUCUGUCUGUCUCUCUGUCUUUGUGUCUUUGUCUCCAUCUCUCUGUCUCUUUCUGUCUCUCUCCUCUGUCUGACCCUCACUGUCUUCUCUGUCUUUGUUUUUGUCUCUCUCUGUCACUCUUUCUUUGUGUCUGUCUGUCUGUCUCUGUCUUCUCUGUUUCUGUCUCUUUGUCUUUGUCUCUGUCUCUGUCUUUCUUUGUCUCUGUCUGUUUCUCUGUCUCUUUCUGUCUCUGUCCUCUCUAUUUCUCUCUGUCUUCGUCUCUGUCUCUCCAUGUCUGUCAUUCUUUGUCUUUGUCUGUCUGUCUCUCUCUGUCUUCUCUGUCUCUGUCUCUCUCUUUAUGUCUUUGUCUCUGUCUCUUAUUCUUUGCCUCUCUGUCUAUCUCUCUCUGUCUCUCUCUUCUCUCUCUCUCUCUCUCUCUCUCUCUCUCUCUCUCUCUCUCACACACACACACACACACACACACACAUACACACACACACACACACACACACACACACACACCCCAUACCAUUUACACGACUUAUUUUUCUCUUCUUCCCUUCUCUCUUCCUCUUGGCAGCUACAUGA
rnacentral:lncRNA from 1 species